rnacentral:lncRNA from 1 species
UUCUUUUGAUGCUGGAGAAGAACUUCAAGACUCUUCAGGCGGUACUAGCUUCGUUGAAUGGCUCGACCGGAGAAGCUGCGGGUAUGGAUCUUGGUGACCAGAGCAUGGGAAUGGAAGAUGAUGACAACGAAAUGGAUGAUGAUGGUGAUGUGGAGAUGGAUGAAGGACAAGGAGGAGAGUUUAAGGAGAAGGUUAUGAAUGUGUUGAAGGAAGGUGGGUUCGAGGAGAAGAGGUCGUCUAAGCUAUCACAACAAGACUUUCUGUAUCUUCUCUCGUUAUUCAACAAGUCGGGC